rnacentral:tRNA from 1 species
GGGCGAUUAGUUAAGUGGUAUAAUUUCGGUCUCCAAAACCGAUGUCGGGGGUUCGAUUCCCUCAUCGCCCGCAA